rnacentral:rRNA from 1 species
AGCAGUCGCCGCGGUAAUACGUAGGUCCCGAGCGUUGUCCGGAUUUAUUGGGCGUAAAGCGAGCGCAGGCGGUUAGAUAAGUCUGAAGUUAAAGGCUGUGGCUUAACCAUAGUACGCUUUGGAAACUGUUUAACUUGAGUGCAAGAGGGGAGAGUGGAAUUCCAUGUGUAGCGGUGAAAUGCGUAGAUAUAUGGAGGAACACCGGUGGCGAAAGCGGCUCUCUGGCUUGUAACUGACGCUGAGGCUCGAAAGCGUGGGGAGCAAACAGGAUUAGAUACCCGAGUAGUCCCUGUCUCUUAUACA